UCCAUCGUUCUAGAGAGAGAGAGAAUGAGAGACAUAAGCUUUGUUCUUCUUCUCUAGUGGCGAUUUUGUGUCUGUGUUGAAGUGUAGAGGGUAAUUGUGCACAUCUAUUCAAAUGGGUUGACGAGGCUUUGGUCGAACAAAUGGAAGAUUAUGGAGAGGAGCUAAGCAAAUUCAAAGUCGAGUUCGGAAAAAAAAGAGAAGAGUGAUAUGGAAAAGAGAGAGGAGUACAAGAUUAUCGAGAGGAGUUGCAAAAGCUUAUAGUUGAGAUGGAAAAAAUGAAGUUUGAGAUAGAAGAGUUAAGAGGUUUCAAAAGUAAUGUAGUUGUAGUUGUCGGAGUUGUCGGGGUUAUAGCUUUGGCAAUCAUAUACUACUAUGGAUUACUACUUAUUUGAUGUAUUUUGGAAGUAUGUAUCAGUUGGAGAAGACAAUUAUGAUGUAUCAGUUAGAGAAGACAAGAUCAUUAUGUAUGUUAUUUAUGAAGAAAACAUUGGAUGAAACAUUCAUCA